CUUGGCCUCCCAAAGUGCUGGGGUUACAGGUGUGAGGCACUGUGCCUGGCCUCCAUCUUUCCCUUUUAGUGAUGCUAUGUGUCUAACCAGAGAACCCCAGUUGCCUGAAUUUUUUUAAGACAGGAUCUGGCUCUUAGCCCAGGCUGGAUUGCAGUGGUGCAAUCACAGCUCAUUGCAGCCUUGAUCUUUUGGGCUCAAUGAUCCUCCUGCCUCAGCCUCCCGAUUAGCUGGGACUAGGGGUGCACCAUCACCCCAGCUAAUUUUUAGAUUUUAUUUUUAAAGAGAUGGGGUCUGGCUAUGUUGCCCUGGCUUGUCUGGAACUCCUGGCCUCAAGCCUCCACCUCCCAAGGUGGUGUGAUUACAGGCGUGAGCCAUUGCACCCAGCCCCAAAGUUUCAAAGCCAGCACUGGGCCCAGGCUGAGCCUGAGGGUGCUCCCACCGGGUGUGGUGACCUCUGGGCCGACCAGAAGCUCCUAUGUAGGAGAUGCUGGACCAGGUCGGAGGAUGGCUGGGUCCUCCCAGCAAGGUGGCUGAGCUGAGGGCAGAGGUGGGGUCCCCAACCUCUCUGGCCAUCAGUGCCUAUGAUGACUCCUCUUACUCACUAAGGUGUGAUCUUGGUCAGGACACAUCUCUUUUCCCAGCCAGUUUCCUCACCUCUCCUACAGAGGGUGCCACCAUCUCAGGGUGUGACUGAGGGGGGUGAAUCUGGGGCCUGGCAGAUGGCAGGCACUUUGCACCUGUCACAGAUACAAGCUUACAUGGUUUUACCACCCUUCAUCUGAACUUUCAGAGUUUGACAAAUCUGUGUUUUCGAGAGGAAGCAUGGGCCUUAAACCCUAAGCGAGGGUCCUUCCUGGUGAGGCUGCAGACUGCACCUGGGAACCAAAUACAUCUUGGAACUUGCGAAAACUCACACUGACGGGGACAAGGAGAGGGAGAAUUUACCAUCAGAGUGGAGACCUGUUGUACGCAUACGGUGGACACUGGUUUUAAAGAUACUUUGGUACAGAGAAAGAGAAAACGUUUCCAAAAUCAUGGAGGACUGGAAAAAAACCUAAAGGAAUGUAAACUGUCUCAUUAAUGAUAUUUCACAUUGAUAUUCUAUGAAAAUGGUGACACUAUAGCUAUACUGGCUUAAUUCAAACACAUCAUGCCGGGUGCGGGGGCGCACACCUAUAAUCCCAGCACUUUGGGAGGCUGAGGUGAGCAGAUCACCUGAGGUCAGGAGUUCAAGACUAGCCUGGCCAACAUGGUGAAACCCUUUCUCAUUUUUUUUUUUUUUGAGAUGGAGUCUCACCCUAUCCCUCAGGCUGGAGUGCAAUGGCACAAUCUAGGCUCAUGGCAACCUCUGCCUCCUGGGUUCCAGCAAUGCUCCUGCUUCAGCCUCCCAAGUGGCUGGGGUUACAGGUGCCCGCCACCAUGUCCAGAUAAUUUUGUUUUUUGCUCAUUUUUGUAUUUUCAGUGAGAUGGGGUUUCACCAUGUUGGCCAGGCUGGUCUUGAACUCCUGACCUCAGGUGAUCCACUGACCUCAGCCUCCCAAACUGCUGGGAUUACAGGCAUGCGCCACCUUGCCUGGUGGUGAAACCCUUUCUCUAUUAAAAAUACAAACAUUAGCCAGGCGUGGUGGUGCAUGCCUGUAGUUCUAGCUACUUGGGAGGCUGAGGCAGGAAAAUCACUUGAACCUGGAAGGUGGAAGUUGCAGUGAGCUGAGAUGGCACCAUUGCACUCCAGCCUGGGCAACCAACCAGACAUAUCAUUAGGCCAGGUGCAGAGGCUCACACCUGUAAUCCCAGCACUAUGGGAGGCCAAAGUGGGUGGGUCACCUGAGGUCAGGAGUUUGAGACCAGCCUGACCAACAUGGCAAAACCGCAUCUCUACUAAAAAUACAAAAAUUAGCCAGGCAUGGUGGUGGACACCUGUAAUACCAGCUACUUGGGAGGCUGAGGCAGGAGAAUCACUUGAACCAGGGAGGUGGAGGUUGCAGUGAGAUGAGAUCACACCAUUGCACUCCAGCCUGGGCGACAAGAGUGAGACUCUCUCAAAAAACAAAACAAAACAACCCAAAACAUGUCAUUAAAAUGAACUUCAUGAAUGUCA